rnacentral:rRNA from 1 species
CCAGACUCCUACGGGAGGCAGCAGUGGGGAAUAUUGCACAAUGGGGGGAACCCUGAUGCAGCGACGCCGCGUGGGUGAAGGAGUAUUUCGGUAUGUAAAGCCCUAUCAGCAGGGAAGAACAAUGACGGUACCUGACUAAGAAGCCCCGGCUAACUACGUGCCAGCAGCCGCGGUAAUACGUAGGGGGCAAGCGUUAUCCGGAUUCACUGGGUGUAAAGGGAGCGUAGACGGCGACGCAAGUCUGGAGUGAAAGCCCGGGGCCCAACCCCGGGACUGCCCUUGGAACUGCAUGGCUGGAGUGCGGGAGGGGCAGGCGGAAUUCCUGGUGUAGCGGUGAAAUGCGUAGAUAUCAGGAGGAACACCGGCGGCGAAGGCGGCCUGCUGGACCGCGACUGACGUUGAGGCUCGAAAGCGUGGGGAGCGAACAGGAUUAGAUACCCCAGUAAGG